rnacentral:lncRNA from 1 species
AUGCCCUCAGGCGUGACAAAGCGGAUGUCCAGCAGCCAUCUUACCGGCAACACGUCCAGAACGGAACUCAGAACCCUCCCCACCUUCCACCUUCCCUAUCGCUGGUGGAGCCCCCCCCUCCCCCCCCCUGCUCUGGGCUUCUCACUGACUCCCAGAUCCAAGAUGGCGCCAAGGCCUGUCAAUUCCCCCCUCUGUGGUAUCCCUCGAGCCCAUCCCCGUCUCCUUGACCCCCGGACUGGCUCUCCCACUGCGGUCACCCCAUUCCAUCGUUUCAGGGGCUCCCUAUUACCUCCAGGGCUGAACCGCCAUCCUGCCUGGGCUUCUCUCUCGUACCCCUGCCCCAGGUCCUCGUCCGCCCCAGCUGCCCCACUUCCACACCCAUCUCUCCAGCUGCCCUCCACCCUGGGAUGCUCUCCCCCCCCAUCCCUGGCUCCCAGCUUCCCAGCGUCCCUCUUGUCGCGCUCAAAGCCAGCCUUCUACAGGGGGCUCCUCUCCGUCCUUCCCCCUUAUCCCUCCCUCCUUGGCCUUCUCGUGUGUGCCCAGUGCUUGGCACAGGGCCUGGCAUGGGGCUUCGUCGCUGUUUACUGCCUGGCUGUAGGAGGAAGAGAUGCCCACAUUUGUGCCAGCUUUAAGGGCUCCUCCUAUUGUCCCCUUUGGCAAAGCAGCCAUUCUGCUGCUGGCAAGAAUGAGAAUCUGAAAGUGGCUUCUUGGGCCGCGGUGCCCCUCCCUGAAUGGUGCUGGGCUUGGCACGGCGCAGGGCAGACGAGGAAGUCGGUGACUUCCUCCCUCCCUCCCAGGGGCUGGGCAGGCUCAGCCUCACAAAGCCCCUCGGUGGCAGGCUUCCCAGCCCGAGAGGCGCCGCUCCCUUCAGGGGUGAAGAGGCCUCGUGGAUGGGGACCAGCCUGGCACCCGAGCGAGCCGCCAAACCGCUCAGGGGCACCGAAGGGCAAUCCGCUACCCGCCUGGGAAGAUUGUUCCCAAGUCAGGCUGGUUCCUCGGCUCGGGUCUCUCUCAGCGCGCCAGGCCAGAGCGGGCAUCACGCCCAGGGCACAGGCAGCCUCUCCCCACCGGCCCCCCAGGGCAUGA